GGAAAAAAUAAAUAUAUUUGAGGACUUGAAGGGGGGUGAGUGGGAGAAAAGCAGCGCGGCGAGAGAGCGGCCUGGUGCCGCAGAGCAGGGCCACAGCCCUCCCCUGGGCCAUGAACAGGCUGGUGAUUGCUCCUAACGAGAGAGGAACAGCAGUGGUGAGCGAGGGCAGAAAGGAGCUCCUUAGGCUGUUUCUGAUGUUUGCAGCAGCUGAAUUUGUGUGGUUUGGUAACAACAGACAAGGGCAAAUUGCAGUUCAAACCCAGCUAAACUGGACUCAUCGCUUCAGGACCUGCACCGCACUCGGGCAAGCAAAGACAAGAGAAAUGAAUGAGCAAACAUAGCUUGAAAGCUUGGUCCUGCUGAAACCAGUACCACACAACCAAGCUUCAGGAGGCACAGGAUUUCCAUGGGAAUAAGGUCCAUCUUCCUGCCCUGUGGCAGUCCCAGGGCUCAGACCCUGCCUCAGAAGGCUGGGAUGGGGCAGCACCUGCUCAGCCCUGAACCCAAGAGCUAAGGCAGGUUUCUGACACAUCACAGCUUUAAAGUCCUGGCUUGGUGCAAUGAAUGAAUGCCAGAAACCAAGUUCCCAAAAUUUUAUCCGUUUUGGGCCUUCCUCUGAGGCAGCAGAAAGAUAAAAUGUAUUGCUUAAUUGUAGGUCCAUAAUUAAGAUUUUUUUCUUGUUGCACAUCCUGCUGGUUUUCAGCCAGCACAGCAAUGUCAGAACCUCUCACUGCCUCUAACCAUGACUGUCAAGCACUUCUUUCAGCACUGGAGCUGAACUUUUCCCAGGAAACAGCAGAUGUUUGCCAACAGUAUCCUCCCUGAGCAUCCCCAAUUUGCCCCUGGGUUGCUGCCACGUGGCACUGACAGCAUGAAAGUCAAAUGAAGCCUUCAAACACAGAAUCACUCCCAGGCAAAACCUGCCUCAUGCAAUAGAAUAGCACCAGGUGUGAUCUUUCCCUGAUAAAACACUCUGGAUAAGGAUUUGAUCUUCCCAGGAACAGGAAAAUUCAAAAAGUUGCUAGAGGGACUAAGCACCUAAAUCUUUUAAUGAGGAAAAAAAUUAUCAUUACUGUUACUGUAGCAGACAGGAAGACAUUGCCAGACAGUAAAUCUGUUGUGGUGGUUAUUGCCAUUUAAUAUUGAGUCAAUAUAAGUAAUGUCUUGGAGUCUUUCCACAUAAACUGAUAAAAGAGCCAGGACAUGGGCUGCUCUCCAAGCAGCAAAUAGUUUGAACUUGAGAUUU
rnacentral:lncRNA from 1 species